rnacentral:tmRNA from 1 species
GGGGGCGUAAUGGAUUCGACGGGGAUUUAGAAUUACAGUAAGCGAGUAGAGAAUGGGCAUUAGCCCAUGUGGCACUCUUUAAGCCAAAACUUAAAUUUAAACGCAGAUAAUAAUAAUUAUCAACUAGCUGCUGCUUAAAGCACAGCUCGUUCGUCCUAGUAAACCGCGGCUAGACACGAACGUCAUUUAGCGGUAAAUGUUUGAU